CCUACGGGCGGCAGCAGUGAGGAAUAUUGGUCAAUGGCCGGAAGGCUGAACCAGCCAUGCCGCGUGAAGGUCAGUGCCCUAUGGGCGUUAAACUUCUUUUGUGCGGGAGCAAUAAUGGUCACGUGUGGCCAGACGAGAGUACCGUACGAAUAAGCAUCGGCUAACACCGUGCCAGACGCCGCGGUAAUACUGGGGAUGCAAGCGUUAUCCGGACUUAUUGGGUUUAAAGGGUGCGUAGGCUGUGAGGUAAGUCAGCGGGGAAAUGCCCCCGCUCAACGGGGUGAAGUGCCAUUGAUACUGCCUUGCUGGAAUGCGGAUGCCGUAGGAGGAAUGUGUGGUGUAGCGGUGAAAUGCAUAGAUAUCACACAGAACCCCGAUUGCGAAGGCAUCUCACGAAUCCGCGAUUGACGCUGAUGCACGAAAGCGUGGGUAUCAAACAGGAUUAGAUACCCCUGUAGUC
rnacentral:rRNA from 1 species